AUUCUCUGUAAUAGAAGAUAAGACUCUCCAGAGUGGGGCAAUAAAAAUAUUUUACAACAGUAUUCAAUGCCAAAAUGUCUCACCGGGAAAAUAGCUAAAUAUUAAUCACAACAACAUCUACAUAAGAAAGGAUCCGGUUGUCUCAACAUCAUGUGAUAUCAACUGUGACCACUCAUGGCAGCUCAGCUGAGAUGGACAUGUCGAAGAUGUCCACGAGUUCUUCAAGACUUCUUUCCAUGUGGUGUUCUCUUAUCAUUAGAAACGUAUAGCCAGAGCUCCUUAAAAGGCAGCAGGAUGCUAAUAAAACUCCCCACGUGGAUACACUUCAUUGGAAUGUGUAUGCCUCUCUGCCUAUUGAAAUCCUACACAUCCUUCAAGAUGUUGAGAUAUUAAGUAUUGAGCAAAGUGAUAAAGGUCUGAUUGCCACCAGGAACUCUCAGCCCAUUCCCCCAUUCCACUGCACUGAUUUUGCAACCAAAGCUCCAUCUCUUAUAAGAGAAUGAAAACAGAUAUGGAGGAAAGGAGGAUACAGAGGAGCUGCCUGCAUUAAUGUGUGUAUCCAACUUAGUCAGCCAAAACCAGCCCAUUACACUUGCAUUAUCUU